CAAAUUUAAAUUAUUGUUGGUACUAAAAAUAGGUUUGUGAGUACAUAAAUUGCAUAUUAAUGAGGCAAGCACGUGGGCAAAUUGGGACAGGGCGUUUUUUUAAAGGAAGCUCGUUUUCAGGUAUUUCGUAUUUCAGGCAAGGAUGCAGAUUGAAUAGUAACCGAGUGACGAGUUGCAAGCUGAAUAAUAAUUCCAUGUGGGAAAAAAUUGUACCAGAAUAAUAGAAAUAAUGGCAGCCAACCUAAUUCCAGUUCCGAAUCGUGUUUUUCGAGCUAAAUACAACACGGACGCAGACAAUUGGUCGAUUAUCUUACCUUAUGUGGAUCAUCAAAAGUUUUUAGUCGCACCCUCACCGAAGAAUGCUGUUUUUUAAAUGUAGUUUAUCUCCCACAUUUUGUCCUAUCUCCCACUCAUGGCUCCCACUUGAAAGCUUGAAGAUCGCUCGACUAGUUUGCAGACACUGGGAGGAAGACGUGACUCCCAUUCUGCGGAGGAAAUGUGCCAUAAAGUUUCGUUAUUAUCCCGACACUACCAACCCUUCCAUGCAAUUUUACCGAUACGUUCAUGAAAUGCCGAACGUCGCAGAUUGGCCAAACUGGAAGAUAAGCUUUCCAUCAGCCAAAGAAGAUGACCAAGACAAUUGGAGUGUCAAGUAUGUCAACGAUCUGAACUGGUUUCUUCACCCGAGAAGGGGACAUCACGUUAAGACUUUGUCCCUGAGUGGGGAAAUCUGUUCCGACCAGGAUUACUGUUUAUAUCUCGAUACCGUUUCUCACGUUAAGGACACACUGGAAGAAUUAUGUCUGGACAUCGACAUGACAAUUUGCGACAAUGAUGGCCCCGAGAAGAAAUAUUCAACUCGGCACGGUCUAUUUUUCAAAGUAUUGAAGAAACUAUCUCUCGGAUUGUUUACUUUCUCACCAGAACCAGUGCCACUGACUGCGACCUGGAUGAAAACUUGGGCUGACGCGAUUACCCGGGUGAACUCCAUCUCUAUGAUCGGCUAUGAUUUCCUGGGGUCAAGAUUUGUCCAAGAAUUGCAAAAAACAGGAACUUUGCGGUAUCAAAAUUUGAGGGAGAUUAUGCUAACUUGUAGGCCAGAGGAUGCCAUCAAUUUUCUCAUCGAGUUCAAUCAGCCAUUGAAGAAUAUGACCAGAGGGCGGAUAUGCAUGUAUUUCUAACUUUUUCAUAUCAAAUCAGAUCGUACUAAAACUUUGUGUACUGUUAUCCCAUCGAAGCGUGAUCUCAAAAAUUCAAACAUUGUUUUCCAUAUUUUACAUAUUUUAGGGUUUUCGUACAUAUGCAUAUUUUCAUACUUAUUUUGAGUUUUUUUUCGUACAUGCACAUAUUUUCCUACAUAUUCGAGCCUUUUUCUAAAAAUAAUUAUUUGAAUACAUAUUUCGAGGUUUUUUAUGUGAAAAUAUUUUUCUUUAUUCAGAAGUUAAAGUUUUCUCAAAAUUAUAUUUUCAUGAUAAUGGUGUUCAAUUCAUGUGAACGACUAGCAAAUCCAGUUUGCCCGAUUUUUCUAGUAAAAAAAUUACACCUGAAAAUCUCUAAGUAUAACUAAUGUCGCAUUAUGGGUUAUUAGAUAAAGAUUAAAAUGAUAUAUUUAAUAAUUCGUUGAUAAGAGUGUUAAAAAGUUUAAAGGUUUGGACAAUUAAAUUUAAA